rnacentral:rRNA from 1 species
GACGAACGCUGGCGGCGCGCCUAACACAUGCAAGUCGAACGGAGAAAAGAGCUUCGGUUUUUUUCUUAGUGGCGGACGGGUGAGUAACGCGUGAGCAACCUGCCCUAUGGAGGGGGAUAACGCCUGGAAACGGGCGCUAAUACCGCAUAAUGUAACGGGGUGACAUCAUUCUGUUACCAAAGGAGAGAUCCACCAAAGGAAGGGCUCGCGUCCGAUUAGGUAGUUGGUGAGGUAACGGCCCACCAAGCCUGCGAUCGGUAGCCGGACUGAGAGGUUGGCCGGCCACAUUGGGACUGAGAUACGGCCCAGACUCCUACGGGAGGCAGCAGUGGGGGAUAUUGCACAAUGGAGGGAACUCUGAUGCAGCGACGCCGCGUGAGGGAAGAAGGUCUUCGGAUUGUAAACCUCUGUCUUCAGGGACGAAUAAAGACGGUACCUGAGGAGGAAGCCACGGCUAACUACGUG